rnacentral:rRNA from 1 species
AUUGAACGCUGGCGGCAGGCUUAACACAUGCAAGUCGAGCGGAGUGAUGGUGCUUGCACUAUCACUUAGCGGCGGACGGGUGAGUAAUGCUUAGGAAUCUGCCAUUUAGUGGGGGACAACAUUCCGAAAGGAAUGCUAAUACCGCAUACGUCCUACGGGAGAAAGCAGGGGAUCUUCGGACCUUGCGCUAAAUGAUGAGCCUAAGUCGGAUUAGCGAGUUGGUGGGGUAAAGGCCUACCAAGGCGACGAUCUGUAGCGGGUCUGAGAGGAUGAUCCGCCACACUGGGACUGAGACACGGCCCAGGCUCCGACGGGAGGCAGCAGUGGGGAAUAUUGGACAAUGGGCGGAAGCCUGAUCCAGCCAUGCCGCGUGUGUGAAGAAGGCCUUUUGGUUGUAAAGCACUUUAAGCGAGGAGGAGGCUCUCCUAGUUAAUACCUAGGAGGAGUGGACGUUACUCGCAGAAUAAGCACCGGCUAACUCUGUGCCAGCAGCCGCAGUAACAC